ACUGAACGCUGGCGGCAUGCCUUACACAUGCAAGUCGAACGGCAGCACGGGAGCAAUCCUGGUGGCGAGUGGCGAACGGGUGAGUAAUAUAUCGGAACGUGCCCGGUCGUGGGGAUAACGUAGCGAAAGCUACGCUAAUACCGCAUACGAUCUACGGAUGAAAGCGGGGGAUCGCAAGACCUCGCGCGAUUGGAGCGGCCGAUAUCAGAUUAGGUAGUUGGUGAGGUAAAGGCUCACCAAGUCGACGAUCUGUAGCUGGUCUGAGUGGACGACCAGCCACACUGGAACUGAGACACGGUCCAGACUCCUACGGGAGGCAGCAGUGGGGAAUUUUGGACAAUGGACGCAAGUCUGAUCCAGCCAUUCCGCGUGCAGGAUGAAGGCCCUCGGGUUGU
rnacentral:rRNA from 1 species